AGCGAACGCUGGCGGCAGGCUUAACACAUGCAAGUCGAGCGGGCGUAGCAAUACGUCAGCGGCAGACGGGUGAGUAACGCGUGGGAACAUACCUUUUGGUUCGGAACAACACAGGGAAACUUGUGCUAAUACCGGAUAAGCCCUUACGGGGAAAGAUUUAUCGCCGAAAGAUUGGCCCGCGUCUGAUUAGCUAGUUGGUAGUGUAACGGACUACCAAGGCGAUGAUCAGUAGGGGAACUGAGAGGUUGAUCCCCCACC
rnacentral:rRNA from 1 species